ACCAAGCUUAAAGGCGCACAGGCAAACCUAUUCUAGAGACCACAACGGCACCACCUUUUCUCCCAGUUCAAAAUCCCAAAUGGGUAGUGAGGCCUCUGAAAGGACCAACUACCCAGAGGUGGCACUACCCACAGUGGUCUGGACCUUCCCACAUCAAUCAUUAAUGAAGAAAAACUGCACCCCAGGCUGAUGGAAGCACUUUCGCCAUUUUGGUUUAAGAACCAAACAUCUGUUCACAUCAGGCCACCAACAGCAGAUCAAAGAAAUGGCUCCAUCAAGUA